CAUGCACCUUCCUCACUGUGAUACAGAGAGCAGCACAAACCAAGAGAACCAGCAUGUCUUUCAUCUGCAUCUGCAUCUUGGUACUCACUGUGUGUACCAAAGUGAGCUCAGCAGACAUUCUGCUCACCCAGACUCCAGAAUCCCUCUCAGUCCAGCGGGGAGAAUCUGCCACCAUCAGCUGUAAAGCCAGCAGCGCCAUCGAUGAUGAUUUAGCCUGGUACCAUCAGAAACCAGGAGAAGCUCCUAAAUUCAUUAUUGAUUUUAAUUCUGGUAUGACUUCAGGUCGAUACCAAGGCAGUGGAUAUGAUUAUGAUUUGAGUCUGACCAUCAGUAACGUACAGGCUGAAGAUUCAGGAGUUUAUUACUGUCAGCAGCAUGAAGCAACUCCAUACAGCUUCGGCGGAGGAACCAAACUCAUCGUCAAAACGGGGGUGUCCGUGCCGCCGUCCGUCUCUCUGCUCCCCCCCUCCUCUGAGCAGCUGGCGGCGGGUCAGGCCACGCUGGUCUGCGUGCUGAGCGGCUACAGCCCGCAGGGCGCCAGGGUGAGCUGGACCGUGGACGGGACUGAGGUGACGGAGGGUGUCCUGACCGGUGAGGAGGUGGAGAGGGACGGAGGGAAGUCUGUCCGCAGCAGCACCCUGACGCUGAGCAAGGAGGAGUGGCAGAAGCGAGACUUGUUCACCUGCCAGGUGUCUCAUGACGGCGGCGCGCGGUCAGCUGAGCUCAGGAGGACACAGUGCGGCCUGUAGGGACGCAAACCUCAUCUGUUGACCUGCUGCUGGUGAUCCGUGCUACAGAUGCUGCCUGCUUUCAUGUUUGUUGUUCAGAAGAAAAUAAAAAAAAGAUGUUUGAUUUAUUCAAUGGUGUCAUUGUUGUAAACACAUUCAUUCAUUUCCCGCCAUCAGUAAAGAUGAUGACACUCACUCAGCAACACAGUAUUUGCAUCGAGCUGUGACUGUUUAUUUUAACAUGCUAAAGAACCAGAGGGGUGUUUUGAUACAGCAGGACAACUAUUGAACCGGGAUUAUUUCAUUAAAGCAGAAUAUCCGUUUCAUAAAGGAGGUUUAAAUAAGCCUGACCUCAGUUACCAUGGAAACAUAGUCAGCUUCACCUCAGCAUCAACUGGUCUGACAAUCAAUAGUUCCUCUGUACUGCUGCUCAUGUGAACAUGAUUUUCAGUUCCUGCCAAUCUGAUCAUUUAUCGAUCAGUUUUGACACAGAUGUGCUUUAGUUACACUGCUUCGUUAAAACAUGAACUCAUAUCUGUUUCAGUUUUAUCUGCACAGUAUUCCAGCCGAUAUCUGCUUGUUUUAAAUGUAGUAUCAUUAAAAUAAAGCUAAUAAAUAGCUUUUAUUCAUGGCUGUAGUUUAACCAUAUGGAAGAUGUUAUAUUCAUGUUACACACAAACCAAGUGGUACAAUCAAAAUAAUAAAUAAUCAUCUUAUUUUCCUGUCACAAA